rnacentral:rRNA from 1 species
UACGUAGGGGGCUAGCGUUGUCCGGAAUCAUUGGGCGUAAAGCGCGCGUAGGCGGCCCGGUAAGUCCGCUGUAAAAGUCCAGGCUCAACCCUGGAACGCCGGUGGAUACUGUCGGGCUAGAGUCCGGAAGAGGCGAGUGGAAUUCCUGGUGUAGCGGUGGAAUGCGCAGAUAUCAGGAGGAACACCCGUGGCGAAGGCGGCUCUCUGGAACGCAACUGACGCUGAGACGCGAAAGCGUGGGGAGCGAACAGG